rnacentral:rRNA from 1 species
CGUAUGGUUCUAUUUUGUUGGUUUCUAGGACCGUCGUAAUGAUUAAUAGGGAUGGACGGGGUGUCAGGUAUGGUCACGUCAGAGGUGAAAUUCUUAGAUUGUGACCGGACCCACUGCUGCGUAAGCGUGACACAAGAACAUGCCCAUUAGUAAAGCACGAUAGUUAGAGGAGUUAAGAUGAUCAGAUACCGUCGUAGCUCUAACUGUAAACUAUGAUGACUAGGGAUGGGGCCAUGUUCGUUUGAACGGGCUCUGCACCUUAGCGAAAGUAAAGUUUUUGAUCUCUGGGGGGAGUAUGGUCGCAAGGCUGAAACUUAAAGGAAUUGACGGAAGGGCACCACCAGGAGUGGAGCCUGCGGCUUAAUUUGACUCAACACGGGACAGCUUACCAGGUCCAGACAUGAUAAGGAUUGACAAGUUAGAGACUUCUCUUGAUCUCAUGGGUGGUGGUGCAUGGCCGUUUUUAGUCCUUGGAGUGAUUUGUCUGCUUAAUUGCGAUAACGGACGAGACCUUAACCUGCUAAAUAGGCGGGCCAACGUCAGUUGGCUGCGUCUUCUUAGAGGGACUAUGGGGAACAACCCCAUGGAAGUUUGAGGCAACAACAGGUCUGUGAUGCCCUUAGACGUUCUGGGCCGCACGCGCGCUACACUGACGGAGCCAGCAAGGACCUUUGCCGAGAGGCCUGGGGAAACUCGUGAAACUCCGUCGUGC